rnacentral:rRNA from 1 species
AACGCUACCGGCGUGCCUAUUCAUGCAAGUAGCGCGGACUUGAUGGGGUGCUUGCACUCCUGAUGUUUAGCGGCGGACGGGUGCAGUAACACGUAGGCAACCUGCCCUCAAGACUGGGAUAACUACCGGAAACGGUAGCUAAUACCGGAUAAUUAAAUCUGCUGCAUGGCGGAGUUAUGAAAGGCGGAGCAAUCUGUCACUUGAGGAUGGGCCUGCGGCGCAUUAUCUAUGUUGGUGAGGUAACGGCUCACCAAGGCGACGAUGCGUAGCCGACCUGAGAGGGUGAACGGCCACACUGGACUGAGACACGGCCCAGACUCCUACGGGAGGCAGCAGUAGGGAAUCUUCCGCAAUGGGCGAAAGCCUGACGGAGCAACGCCGCGUGAGUGAUGAAGGUUUUCGGAUCGUAAAGCUCUGUUGCCAGGGAAGAACGUCUCAUAGAGUAACUGCUAUGAGAGUGACGGUACCUGAGAAGAAAGCCCCGGCUAACUACGUGCCAGCAGCCGCGGUAAUACGUAGGGGGCAAGCGUUGUCCGGAAUUAUUGGGCGUAAAGCGCGCGCAGGCGGUUCUUUAAGUCUGGUGUUUAAACCCGAGGCUCAACUUCGGGACGCACUGGAAACUGGGGAACUUGAGUGCAGAAGAGGAGAGUGGAAUUCCACGUGUAGCGGUGAAAUGCGUAGAUAUGUGGGAGGAACACCAGUGGCGAAGGCGACUCUCUGGGCUGUAACUGACGCUGAGGCCCGAAAAG